GUUUUCAGUGUGUUUUCAGUGUGUUUCCAGUGUGUUUUCAGUAUGUUUCCAGUGUGUUUUCAGUGUGUUUCCAGUGUGUUUUCAGGGGGAUUCCAGUGUGUUUUCAGCACAGGUCAUUGAGAUAAAGGCAUUGAAAAGGGUCCAGGGGACAUUCUGGUGUCGGGUAGUGUUUUCAAGAGGCAGGGAGGUGUAAAGAGAUCCAUUGUACUGUACGAUAACCACUCAGGUUUUUGCAGGUGUUGGUGUGUGGGGGGUAUUUGUGUUUGUUUGUGCCCAUUUUGUGCUGUGUCUGUGUGUGUUUAUGUGUGUCUGCGUACGCAAAUGUGUUUGAUUGUGCAAAUAUGUGUGCGUGCAGGCAUGCGCACGUGAAGUGUGUGUAUGUGGUUUACAAAAGAUGGGCUGGUGGGUGGUAAUGUGGGUAAAAGACGCAAUGCUUCCUUCAUACAGCAUCCGUUAGAUCUGCUAGCUAUUCAGUCACUUACAUAACACCCCUGUAGUUCUAUCCUAUUACCUCCAACAGACACGCCAUUCAUACAGACAGUACUGCAGGUCUGUGGCCCCAGCUCUCCGACCAAUACCUGCGGCAUCAUGAAGUCUAUAUGAGGUGCAAAAGACUGAUACACACUAAGUCACAGGAGGGAAUUAUUGUCCUGGAUAACCCUGGUGGAUUGUCUAGCCUCCUCUCCACUGAGACAUUGGGGAAGGAGUUUAUAGAACUGUUGGAAUUCGGACCCUCCAAAAACUAUUCUGUCUCAAAAUGUUGUUUUCUCUAGCCCUCCUCUUCCUGCUAACCCCGUUUCCCUCCCUUCAAACUCCAGUAACCUAUGAGAAAAGAAAUGCCACAGGAACAGGAAGUGAACCCAAACCCUACGUCCUACUCACCCUCUCCCUCACAAAACCAAAAACCGCAGCCACGCUCGUCAAAGUCACCAAAGAGACCCCUAAGCCCACUCCGAAAGUCCUAAGCCCAACUGCAGCCAAUCAGACACAUCCAGCCCCCACAAACCCCCUCAAACCUCCAACAGCCACGUUCAUCAAACUCACCAAAGAGACCCCUAAGCCCACUCCAAAAGCCCUAAGCCCAACUGCAGCCAAUCAGACACAUCCAGCCCCCUCGACCCCCCUCAAGCCUCCAACAGCCACGUUCAUCAAACUCACCAAAGAGACCCCUAAGCCCACUCCAAAAGCCCUAAGCCCAACUGCAGCCAAUCAGACACAUCCAGCCCCCUCGACACCCCUCAAGCCUCCAAUAGCCACAUUCAUCAAACUCACCAAAGAGACCCCUAAGCCCACUCCAAAAGCCCUAAGCCCAACUGCAGCCAAUCAGACACAUCCUGCCCCCUCGACCCCCCUCAAGCCUCCAACAGCCAUGCUCGUCAAACUCACCAAAGAGACCCCUAAGCCCACUCCGAAAGCCCUAAGCCCAACUGCAGCCAAUCAGACACAUCCUGCCCCCUCAACCCCCUCAAGGCUCCAACAGCCACGCCGUCAAACUCACCAAAGAGACCCUAAGCCCACUCUGAAAGCCCUAAACCCAACUGCAGCCAAUCAGACACAUCCAGCCCCCUCGACACCCCUCAAGCCUCCAACAGCCAAGCUCAUCAAACUCACCAAAGAGACCCCUAAGCCCACUCCAAAAGCCUUAAGCCCAACUGAAGCCAAUCAGAUUCUUCCAGCCUCUUCAACCCCCCUCAAACCUCUCACAGCCAGUGGUCCAAAGACCACCACCAAAGACAAACCCUCCCCCACACCGCCGCAUCCCAUCCCCAUCAAGGUGCUCAUCACUUCUGACUCUGGCUGCAUCAGCAAGGACACCCAGAGCGACACUAGCAACCGCACCAAGGAGCAGACCCAGACCCAUGAGCUGAAGCUGAAGCCUGGCUUUCCUCUAACCCUGACCCACCGCAUCAGUCUGGUUCCUACCUCCUGCACUGGGGGAUGUGUGGCUGAGAUGGCAAAACUGAAAGGACGCGUUGGCAGGCUGGAGAAAGAGAUCUCCCUCAUGAAGAGUAAAUGUGCUUCCUGCUCCAAAGGCCCAUGUCCCAAUGGCUGCAGUGCAAAUGGGAAAUGUGAGAAGGGAAAGUGUGUCUGCCUCCCAGGGUUCCUUGGUCUAGACUGCAGAAAAUGUAGAGCUGGAGCUGACUGCAGUAAAAAAGGUACCAAAGACAAAAUCCAGAUAACGGUGGAGACGGUGGCAUUGAAGGUAUCACCUGAGAGCAAUGCUAUCACGGAGAGUCUGCAGGGGAAGAAGACCAAGGCAGACCAAAUCCUCUUCCAGAAGAAAACAGAGCAAAAGACACCUACAGCCGCCAAAGAGGAUGGUGACAUCAAAAGCAAAACAAAAGUGACCACAAGUGUAAAAGCAGGCCUCACCAAGACACAAGCCAAACAAGGGGUUACUGUCACUAAAACCAAAAGUAAACUCUCCACCUAUUCCAAUGCUACCAAGAUUGGACUGGGCCGACCAACCGUCGGACAGGUUCUGUUGAAACACCAUGGAGGAAGAAAGCAAGAGAGCAAAGGCAAAACGACAGUUAUAAAGAAGCAGUCUAAACCAGACCUGAAGUUGAAAGUAACAGUAAAGGAGGAAUCUGCAGGUAAAGCCAAUGCUGAAGCUGGCAACCUCCAAGACCAGCCUCAAGCCAAUGUCACCCAAAGCACUGUGAAGAUGUUUGUGAACAAAACCCGGUCAGGAAAAGAGACUCUGGAGCAGUCGACGUUGGCUGAGAAGAAUGUGACUCUAACAUCUGGAAAGAAAACAGUCAAAAAGGUGAAAUUAGUUCAGGGGACUAUGAACGUUACAAAGGUGUCAUUGGCUUUUGAUAGCACUAAGGCUGGGACGGGCAAGAUCACCCUUACAAAGGACAUUAAGACAGAGGCAGACAUCUCCUCAGGCACAUCUAAAACUACUGUGAAGACAGGGUCAGGCAAAGGGAAGCCAGUCACACGGAAGAGUCAGUAUGUUGUGAACAUGACCACUGUGGAGACCACCUCUGAAGUCAAAGUCCUCAGCAACAGGACAACAACUAUCCAGUCUUCCAGAAACACCACAAAGAAAGAAGGAACAGGAGUGGGCAGCGGGCUUGGCUCUGUGAAGGUUCAGAACAUCACCACGUACGGCUUCACCCCUCACAUGGUCGGCCCCGACAGCCAUGUUUAAGAACUUCACUGUGUCCAGAAGAGAGCACAGGGCAGAGGGCGAGGAAGAUGAGGAGGAAGAGGCGGAGGAGGAAGCUGCUCUCGGGGAAGAGGACAGAGUAGCCGCAGUCGCCAACACCACCAUUGAGAUCCGGAAACAGAGCCCUAAUGGAACUGUGGCUUUCCCCACUAAAGCUCCAAGUAGCUCCAGAGGUAAAGCUCACACAAAGAGGGUGUCCGUUGUUCUCCCCGGCAGCGUUCGCUCUGUGGAGUUCAGUAACCUGCGACCUCAGACCCGAUACUCCCUGCACAUAUUUGGCACCACUCCCGGAUCCCGCUCCAAGAUCCACAGAGUAACCGCCAUGACAGGAGAGAGUGGUUCUGUGUCUGUCUGUCAUCAUGACAGGAGAGAGGGGUUCUGUGUCUGUCAUCCUGACAGGAGAGAGUGGGUCUGUGUCUGUCAUCCUGACAGGAGAGAGGGGUUCUGUGUCUUUCAUCCUGACAGGAGAGAGUGGUUCUGUGUCUGUCAUCCUGACAGGAGAGAGUGGUUCUGUGUCUGUCAUCCUGACAGGAGAGAGUGGUUCUGUGUCUGUCAUCCUGACAGGAGAGAGUGGUUCUGUGUCUGUCAUCCUGACAUGAGAGAGUGGUUCUGUGUCUGUCAUCCUGACAGGAGAGAGUGGUUCUGUGUCUGUCAUCAUGACAGGAGAGAGUGGUUCUGUGUCUGUCAUCCUGACAGGAGAGAGUGGUUCUGUGUCUGUCAUCCUGACAUGAGAGAGUGGUUCUGUGUCUGUCAUCAUGACAGGAGAGAGUGGUUCUGUGUCUGUCUGUCAUCC